rnacentral:rRNA from 1 species
AACGAACGCUGGCGGCAUGCCUAACACAUGCAAGUCGAACGAGACCUUCGGGUCUAGUGGCGCACGGGUGCGUAACGCGUGGGAACCUGCCCUUAGGUUCGGAAUAACUCCCCGAAAGGGGUGCUAAUACCGGAUAAUGUCUUCGGACCAAAGAUUUAUCGCCUUUGGAUGGGCCCGCGUUGGAUUAGCUAGUUGGUAGGGUAAAAGCCUACCAAGGCGACGAUCCAUAGCUGGUCUGAGAGGGUGAUCAGCCACACUGGGACUGAGACACGGCCCAGACUCCUACGGGAGGCAGCAGUGGGGAAUAUUGGACAAUGGGCGAAAGCCUGAUCAAGCAGUGCCGCGUGAGUGAUAAAGGCCUUAGGGUUGUAAAGCUCUUUUACCCGAGAUGAUAAUGACAGUACCGGGAGAAUAAGCUCCGGCUAACUCCGUG